rnacentral:rRNA from 1 species
CAGUCGANGAUGAUCAGGAGCUUGCUCCUGUGAUUAGUGGCGAACGGGUGAGUAACACGUGAGUAACCUGCCCCUGACUCUGGGAUAAGCGUUGGAAACGACGUCUAAUACUGGAUAUGAUCACUGGCCGCAUGGUCUGGUGGUGGAAAGAUUUUUUGGUUGGGGAUGGACUCGCGGCCUAUCAGCUUGUUGGUGAGGUAAUGGCUCACCAAGGCGACGACGGGUAGCCGGCCUGAGAGGGUGACCGGCCACACUGGGACUGAGACACGGCCCAGACUCCCUACGGGAAGGCAGCCAGUGGGGAAAUAUUGCCACAAUGGGCGGAAAGCCCUGAUGCAGCAACGCCCGCGUGAAGGGAUGACGGCCUUUCGGGUUGUAAACCUCUUUUAGUAGGGAAGAAGCGAAAGUGACGGUACCUGCAGAAAAAGCACCGGCUAACUACGUGCCAGCAGCCGCGGUAAUACGUAGGGUGCAAGCGUUGUCCGGAAUUAUUGGGCGUAAAGAGCUCGUAGGCGGUUUGUCGCGUCUGCUGUGAAAUCCCGAGGCUCAACCUCGGGCUUGCAGUGGGUACGGGCAGACUAGAGUGCGGUAGGGGAGAUUGGAAUUCCUGGUGUAGCGGUGGAAUGCGCAGAUAUCAGGAGGAACACCGAUGGCGAAGGCAGAUCUCUGGGCCGUAACUGACGCUGAGGAGCGAAAGCGUGGGGAGCGAACAGGAUUAGAUACCCUGGUAGUCCACGCCGUAAACGUUGGGCGCUAGAUGUAGGGACCUUUCCACGGUUUCUGUGUCGUAGCUAACGCAUUAAGCGCCCCGCCUGGGGAGUACGGCCGCAAGGCUAAAACUCAAAGGAAUUGACGGGGGCCCGCACAAGCGGCGGAGCAUGCGGAUUAAUUCGAUGCAACGCGAAGAACCUUACCAAGGCUUGACAUACACCGGAAACGGCCAGAGAUGGUCGCCCCCUUGUGGUCGGUGUACAGGUGGUGCAUGGUUGUCGUCAGCUCGUGUCGUGAGAUGUUGGGUUAAGUCCCGCAACGAGCGCAACCCUCGUUCUAUGUUGCCAGCGCGUUAUGGCGGGGACUCAUAGGAGACUGCCGGGGUCAACUCGGAGGAAGGUGGGGAUGACGUCAAAUCAUCAUGCCCCUUAUGUCUUGGGCUUCACGCAUGCUACAAUGGCCGGUACAAAGGGCUGCGAUACCGUAAGGUGGAGCGAAUCCCAAAAAGCCGGUCUCAGUUCGGAUUGAGGUCUGCAACUCGACCUCAUGAAGUCGGAGUCGCUAGUAAUCGCAGAUCAGCAACGCUGCGGUGAAUACGUUCCCGGGCCUUGUACACACCGCCCGUCAAGUCAUGAAAGUCGGUAACACCCGAAGCCGGUGGCCUAACC